CAAGAUUCUCUGAAGUGCCUC
rnacentral:siRNA from 1 species